rnacentral:rRNA from 1 species
UACGAAGGGGGCUCGCGUUGUUCGGAAUUACUGGGCGUAAAGCGCACGUAGGCGGUCUAUUAAGUCAGGGGUGAAAUCCCGGGGCUCAACCCCGGAACUGCCUUUGAUACUGGUAGUCUCGAGUCCGGAAGAGGUGAGUGGAAUUCCGAGUGUAGAGGUGAAAUUCGUAGAUAUUCGGAGGAACACCAGUGGCGAAGGCGGCUCACUGGUCCGGUACUGACGCGGAGGUGCGAAAGCGUGGGGAGCAAACAGG